rnacentral:rRNA from 1 species
GAUGAACGCUGACAGAAUGCUUAACACAUCAGCAAUUGAUUGGUGGCGGACGGGUGAGUAACGCGUACAGAACUUGCCUCACAGCUAGGGACACCAUUUGGACACGAAUGCUACUCCCUAAUCCUGUGAGAGAGCUUUGCGUCCCAUUAGCUAGUUGGAGAGGUAACGGCUCACCAAGGCGAUGAUGGGUAGCCGGGCUGAGAGGGUGAUCGGCCACAAGGGGACUGAGACACGGCCCUUACGCCUACGGGAGGAAGGAGUGGGGAAUAUUGAACAAUGGACCAAAGGCUGAGACAGCAAUUCGGUGGGAACGAUGAAGUUUUCGGAAUGAAAAGUGCUUUGAGUUGGGAAGCGGUACCAACAGAAGAAGUGACGGCUAAAUACGUGCCAGCCGCCGCGGUAAUUC